AUUGAACGCUGGCGGCAGGCCUAACACAUGCAAGUCGAGCGGAUGACGGGAGCUUGCUCCUUGAUUCAGCGGCGGACGGGUGAGUAAUGCCUAGGAAUCUGCCUGGUAGUGGGGGACAACGUUUCGAAAGGAACGCUAAUACCGCAUACGUCCUACGGGAGAAAGCAGGGGACCUUCGGGCCUUGCGCUAUCAGAUGAGCCCGGGUGGGAUUAGCUAGUUGGUGGGGUAAUGGCUCACCAAGGCGACGAUCCGUAACUGGUCUGAGAGGAUGAUCAGUCACACUGGAACUGAGACACGGUCCAGACUCCUACGGGAGGCAGCAGUGGGGAAUAUUGGACAAUGGGCGAAAGCCUGAUCCAGCCAUGCCGCGUGUGUGAAGAAGGUCUUCGGAUUGUAAAGCACUUUAAGUUGGGAGGAAGGGCAGUAAGCUAAUACCUUGCUGUUUUGACGUUACCGACAGAAUAAGCACCGGCUAACUCUGUGCCAGCAGCCGCCGUAA
rnacentral:rRNA from 1 species